UACGUAGGGUGCGAGCGUUGUCCGGAAUUAUUGGGCGUAAAGAGCUUGUAGGCGGUUUGUCGCGUCUGCCGUGAAAAUCCGAGGCUCAACCUCGGACUUGCGGUGGGUACGGGCAGACUAGAGUGUGGUAGGGGGAGACUGGAAUUCCUGGUGUAGCGGUGAAAUGCGCAGAUAUCAGGAGGAACACCGAUGGCGAAGGCAGGUCUCUGGGCCACUACUGACGCUGAGAAGCGAAAGCGUGGGGAGCGAACAGG
rnacentral:rRNA from 1 species